rnacentral:lncRNA from 10 species
AAGAUGGUUCAUAAGAAAAUUACAGAACUUUUAAAAAAUUGGAAUAACACUUAGCAUAACACUAGUAGCAGUAUUUUCUUUUAAUUUAAGAAAAUGUUCUUAAACUUCCUAAUACUUCCUUGAUUUUCAAGUUCUUCAGAUGCCUGAAAAUAAAAAGGUGCUAAUGGUCCUGAUGUGCUCUAAGAGAUCAAAAGCCAUGCUACUAAAUAAAGUAAGGAGGCUGUGAGUGGAAGUACUGUACUAAAAGGAACGAAAAAACUGACUAAACUGGCAGCUACAAGGUUGAAGAAACAGGAGGCCCAAUACAAGAAAGAAGUGAACAGAAUCCUCAGGGAUGAUGGUGAUAACGACUUGUUCUAGAACUAAAAUCCCCAAAGAUAAAACUAUUGGUACACUUGAUGCUUCAGUGUAUUAAGAGGAGAUUUAGACAAACAGGGGAGAGUUUCAGGAUCAAGUUCUAUGUACUAAAUACAUAGAAAACAAAACAAAACAAAAAAACAGAAAACAAGCAUUAACACGGAGUACAGUAAUCUCCUCUUAUCUGAGGUUUCAGUUACCCACAGUCAACUGCAGUCCAAAAAUACUAUAUUGAAUGGAAAAUUCCAGAAAUAGACAAUUUAUGCCUUAAAUUGCACGGUGUUGUGAGUGGCAUGAUGAAACCUAGUGCCAUCCUGUUCAGUCCCACCAAAAUGUGAAUGAUCCUUUUGUCCACUGUUUCCACACUGAUAUGCCACCUAUUCAUUUGUCACUUAGUAGCUGUCUCAGUUAUCAGAACGAUUGUCCCUGUAUUGCAGUUCUUGUGUUCAAAUAACCUUUGUUUUACUUAAUUCUCCAAUUUUAUUGUUAGCUAUUUAUUGCUGUUAAUCUCUUACUGUGCUUAAUUUACAAAUUAAAAUUUAUCAUUGGUAUGUAUGUAUAAGACAAAACAUUGUAUAUACUGUAUAGGGUUUGGUACUAUCAGUGAUUUCAUGCAUCCACUGGUAUUUUGCAAUGUAUCCACUGUGGAUAAGGGGGGACUAUUGUACAAUAAAGAAAUUAUUGAAUAACACAAUACUAUUUUCAGCUACAAAUAGUAUUUAUGCAUUCAUAAUUCUGUAAAUACAGAAUACUGAUCUAACCAAAGUUAUAACUACAUUGGGAGAGUAGACCAUAGGAAGUAUGGGGGGAACGUGGUAGUGAGGGUAUAAAAGAUUGAGGACAGCAACAUCUUUAUUUUCAUGGUGAGAGGUCAAUAUAUAAGGUCUAAAACUAAAAACAUCAGGAAAUAGCAGUAUAAGCAUGUCAUGCAGAUAAACAAAUGACAAAAGGAAUAUAGUUUCUU